CCUACGGGAGGCAGCAGUGAGGAAUAUUGGUCAAUGGACGAGAGUCUGAACCAGCCAAGUAGCGUGAAGGAUGACUGCCCUAUGGGUUGUAAACUUCUUUUAUAUGGGAAUAAAAUGUUCCACGUGUGGGAUUUUGUAUGUACCAUAUGAAUAAGGAUCGGCUAACUCCGUGCCAGCAGCCGCGGUAAUACGGAGGAUCCGAGCGUUAUCCGGAUUUAUUGGGUUUAAAGGGAGCGUAGGUGGAUUGUUAAGUCAGUUGUGAAAGUUUGCGGCUCAACCGUAAAAUUGCAAUUGAAACUGGCAGUCUUGAGUACAGUAGAGGUGGGCGGAAUUCGUGGUGUAGCGGUGAAAUGCUUAGAUAUCACGAAGAACUCCGAUUGCGAAGGCAGUUCACUGAACUGCAACUGACACUGAGGCUCGAAAGUGUGGGUAUCAAACAGGAUUAGAUACCCGUGUAGUC
rnacentral:rRNA from 1 species